UACGAAGGGGGCUAGCGUUGCUCGGAAUUACUGGACGUAAAGCGCACGUAGGCGGAUCUUUAAGUCAGGGGUGAAAUCCUGGAGCUCAACUCCAGAACUGCCUUUGAUACUGAGGACCUUGAGUUCGGGAGAGGUGAGUGGAACUGCGAGUGUAGAGGUGAAAUUCGUAGAUAUUCGCAAGAACACCAGUGGCGAAGGCGGCUCACUGGCCCGAUACUGACGCUGAGGUGCGAAAGCGUGGGGAGCAAACAGG
rnacentral:rRNA from 1 species